rnacentral:rRNA from 1 species
CCUACGGGAGGCAGCAGUGGGGAAUAUUGCACAAUGGGGGAAACCCUGAUGCAGCAACGCCGCGUGAGUGAAGAAGUAUUUCGGUAUGUAAAGCUCUAUCAGCAGGGAAGAAGAUGACGGUACCUGACUAAGAAGCCCCGGCUAACUACGUGCCAGCAGCCGCGGUAAUACGUAGGGGGCAAGCGUUAUCCGGAUUUACUGGGUGUAAAGGGAGCGUAGACGGUGAUGCAAGUCUGAAGUGAAAGGCCGGGGCCCAACCCCCGGACUGCAUUGGAAACUGUAUGGCUGGAGUGCAGGAGAGGUAAGUGGAAUUCCUAGUGUAGCGGUGAAAUGCGUAGAUAUUAGGAGGAACACCAGUGGCGAAGGCGGCUUACUGGACUGUAACUGACGUUGAGGCUCGAAAGCGUGGGGAGCAAACAGGAUUAGAUACCCGAGUAGUC